rnacentral:lncRNA from 10 species
UGAGGACAGUAUGAUAAGUGAAAUGAGUCAGAAGCAAAAAGACAAAUAUUGUAUGAUUCCAUUUACAUAAGGUACCCAGAGUAGUCAAAUUCAUAGAGAUACAAGGUGUCUGCUGGAAUGGCGGUUGCCAGGGGAUGGGGGAAGGGAAAAUGGGAAGCUGUUGAAAUGAGUCCAGAGUUUCAGUUUGGAAAUGAUGACAGAGCUCUGGAGAUUGGUUGCACCACAAUAUGAACAUAGUUAACACUAUGGCAUUGUACAUUUAGAAAUGAUUAAGAUGGAAAAUUUUACGUUAGAUGUAUUUUACCACAACUAAAAAUUUAAAAGAAAGAAAAAAACAGCUAUGAAGAUUUCUAAGUCUUGGGCCUUAUUUUGCCAUGAGGAAAAAUAAAUACAUCCCAUAAAAAAAA